rnacentral:lncRNA from 14 species
CAAAGAUUCUCAUACGUGUGUUUGUGGGUUAUUUAUUCCCCUCCCUUUCAAUUCAGAUCUUGCUGGUGAAGGACUCUGGAGGGAUGGGGAAGGAGGAGACAGCCAGGCAGCUUAAAGAGGCCUCUGAGGGUCAUGUUGAGUCUGUGCUAUUAUGUUCCAGCGAGGAGAAUGGCUUUAUUGACAGGCAGCUGCUUGACUCCUGCAGCCGCACAGUGUUUGCUGCAGAGCCACAUAAAUACUCAGCCCGUGUUGACAAAUUCCUCGUAGUUAAACCUGCUUGUUUAAUCAUUCGUGUGCUCUUACCUCUGCAGCUCCGGAGAGAAACGAGCUGCUGCUUUACACAGCGACGCAGGAGAAACCUGGAAACGCUCACAGCUGUUUCAGAUAUCACCUGAGGACACAGCAUAGGAAAGAGGCACUCAGGUACUCCUCGAUAGAUGCAAGAUUUGUACUCUAUAAAGAGGCUUGUUUGAGUGAAACAACUCAACCUGCUAAAGGACAGGGACUCUAUGAACAGGAGUCUGUGCAUGUCUACAUCCUUCUUUUCUAUGGUGUUUAACUUUAAAACACUCUACUCUGAAGAGUGGUCUGAACCUUGUUAGGGGACUGGGAAUGGGACCUGCCUCUGCUGUUGGCUGGGAAGGUGGUGGGGUUUUUGUCUCUGUGCAGCUGGGAAACUGAGGUAAGAAAGCAUUCACAACAAAGCAGUUUAAAUCCUCAUCUGGGGCCUGAGAUGCACUUUGUGGGAGGGAAGGUUUUCCUAAGGAAUUUAAACAUGGACUUGGUUAACGGUGGGAGAAUCCUCUUCCUCUGUUCCCCACUCAGGGACAGACAGUAGCUAAAGAAGAGCUGAAAGGGAACUUCAGAACAGAGAAGUGACAACUAUACCUCUUUCCAUGUUGCACCAGCUGGAAGGAUACAUUGCAGACUGAACAGAUUUUCAGUGGUUACUUCUAUCACUUGUUUUCCUUGUUCCAGAAUGAUGAGAAACCCAGUUCCCUGCUUUGGGAAGCAGGGAAUGAGUCAGCACUUGCUUGUGUUACAAACCUAUUUCUCUGGCUUUCACAGAACCCUUAUGAGGUGAAGCACUGGGGAUGAAGCUGCUUGGUCCUUGCCCUCUCUUCAACCAGAAAGAAGCCAUCUGGAGAGACUCCCUCCCAGGUUGUGCUGCCUGGAAGGAGCUGCUGUCCCUCUCUGCCUUGCUCCACACUGCUGUCUCCUGUGGCUUCAGCUCUAAAGGAAAAGUUUACUUCAGUUUGAG